rnacentral:rRNA from 1 species
CCUACGGGUGGCUGCAGUCGAGAAUCAUUCACAAUGGGGGAAACCCUGAUGGUGCGACGCCGCGUGGGGGAAUGAAGGUCUUCGGAUUGUAAACCCCUGUCAUGUGGGAGCAAAUUAAAAAGAUAGUACCACAAGAGGAAGAGACGGCUAACUCUGUGCCAGCAGCCGCGGUAAUACAGAGGUCUCAAGCGUUGUUCGGAAUCACGGGGCGUAAAGCGUGCGUAGGCUGUUUCGUAAGUCGUGUGUGAAAGGCGCGGGCUCAACCCGCGGACGGCACAUGAUACUGCGAGACUAGAGUAAGGGAGGGGGAACCGGAAUUCUCGGUGUAGCAGUGAAAUGCGUAGAUAGCGAGAGGAACACUCGUGGCGAAGGCGGGUUCCUGGACAUUAACUGACGCUGAGGCACGAAGGCCAGGGGAGCGAAAGGGAUUAGAUACCCCAGUAGUC